rnacentral:snRNA from 1 species
GUGCUCGCUUCGGCAGCACAUAUACUAAAAUUGGGAUGAUACAGAGAAGAUUAGCAUGGCUCCUGCACAAGGAUAACAUGCAAAUUCGUGAAGCGUUCCAUAUUUUU